rnacentral:tRNA from 1 species
GGGUAUAUCUCAGUGGUAAAGUGCAUGCUUAGCAUGCAUGAGGUCUUAGGUUCAACUCCCAGUACUUCCA